UCUAUCAAUCUAAGUAAAAAAAGGUAUAGUCCUAUGUGAUUCACGAGACUGAGUUCAGUAAAUCUUUGGCCAAAGCAAGAGUGAAUUCUGAAAAGGAGUUUCCACGAGAUUCACAAGAGAACUCAAGUCGAACCAAUCUUGCAUAUAACCGACGAUGGGCUUUGAUGAGUUAUCCAUGACCUCUGUCAAGUCUAAAUUUUUGAUAGAAAGACUGAAUCAUAUGAUAAAUGUAUCUAGAGGUUUAUACUUUCCUUUUACUGGGUUAUCACUAUAUACUGCUGGUGUCACUGGUGGAUUGUGGACCCACGAGUAUUAUCUUGAUGAUCGAUGAUUCUCGAUGAGUAGUGUUGGAAUUGUUCAACCCAUCAAAAAGAGUUUUGAUGAUAUUAUGAUAAAGAUCAUAAUGUGUCUCACUACC
rnacentral:lncRNA from 1 species